GACGAACGCUGGCGGCGUGCUUAACACAUGCAAGUCGAACGGAAAGGCCCUGAUUUUGUGGGGUGCUCGGGUGGCGAACGGGUGAGUAACACGUGAGUAACCUGCCCUUGACUUUGGGAUAACUUCAGGAAACUGGGGCUAAUACCGGAUAGGAGCUCCUGCUGCAUGGUGGGGGUUGGAAAGUUUCGGCGGUUGGGGAUGGACUCGCGGCUUAUCAGCUUGUUGGUGAGGUAGUGGCUUACCAAGGCUUUGACGGGUAGCCGGCCUGAGAGGGUGACCGGCCACAUUGGUACUGAGAGACGGCCCAGACUCCUACGGGAGGCAGCAGGGGGGAAUAUGGCGCAAUGGGCGGAAGCCUGAUGCAGCAACGCCGCGUGCGUGAUGACGGCCUUCGGGUUGUAAACCGCUUUCGCCGGUGACGAAGCGUGAGUGACGGUAAUGGGUAAAGAAGCACCGGCUAACUACGUG
rnacentral:rRNA from 1 species